UGAGGAAUAUUGGUCAAUGGGCGAGAGCCUGAACCAGCCAAGUAGCGUGAAGGAUGACUGCCCUAUGGGUUGUAAACUUCUUUUAUAAAGGAAUAAAGUCGGGUAUGGAUACCCGUUUGCAUGUACUUUAUGAAUAAGGAUCGGCUAACUCCGUGCCAGCAGCCGCGGUAAUACGGAGGAUCCGAGCGUUAUCCGGAUUUAUUGGGUUUAAAGGGAGCGUAGAUGGAUGUUUAAGUCAGUUGUGAAAGUUUGCGGCUCAACCGUAAAAUUGCAGUUGAUACUGGAUAUCUUGAGUGCAGUUGAGGCAGGCGGAAUUCGUGGUGUAGCGGUGAAAUGCUUAGAUAUCACGAAGAACUCCGAUUGCGAAGGCAGCCUGCUAAGCUGCAACUGACAUUGAGGCUCGAAAGUGUGGGUAUCAAAC
rnacentral:rRNA from 1 species